rnacentral:rRNA from 1 species
GAGUUUGAUCGUGGCUCAGAUUGAACGCUGGCGGCAUGCCUUACACAUGCAAGUCGAACGGCAGCAUGAUCUAGCUUGCUAGAUUGAUGGCGAGUGGCGAACGGGUGAGUAAUACAUCGGAACGUGCCCUGUAGUGGGGGAUAACUAGUCGAAAGAUUAGCUAAUACCGCAUACGACCUGAGGGUGAAAGUGGGGGACCGCAAGGCCUCAUGCUAUAGGAGCGGCCGAUGUCUGAUUAGCUAGUUGGUGGGGUAAAGGCCCACCAAGGCGACGAUCAGUAGCUGGUCUGAGAGGACGAUCAGCCACACUGGGACUGAGACACGGCCCAGACUCCUACGGGAGGCAGCAGUGGGGAAUUUGGACAAUGGGCGAAAGCCUGAUCCAGCAAUGCCGCGUGUGUGAAG